CGCAAGACCUCGCGCGAUUGGAGCGGCCGAUAUCAGAUUAGGUAGUUGGUGAGGUAAAGGCUCACCAAGCCAACGAUCUGUAGCUGGUCUGAGAGGACGACCAGCCACACUGGAACUGAGACACGGCCCAGACUCCUACGGGAGGCAGCAGUGGGGAAUUUUGGACAAUGGGCGCAAGCCUGAUCCAGCAAUGCCGCGUGCAGGAUGAAGGCCUUCGGGUUGUAAACUGCUUUUGUACGGAACGAAACGGUGAGCUCUAAUACAGUUUGCUAAUGACGGUACCGUAAGAAUAAGCACCGGCUAACUACGUG
rnacentral:rRNA from 1 species